UCGAGUAUGCCGAAAUUGGUAGCCGGGUGAAUCUUAGGAAUUUAUGAUAACCUUUUUUAUGAAGGAUCGUGAGAGUUCAAGCCUCUCUACUCGUA
rnacentral:tRNA from 1 species